AUUUAUAUAGUAUACCAAGUAUUUAUGACUUCCAAUCGUAAGGUUUAAUUAUAAAUUAAUAUAAAUA
rnacentral:tRNA from 1 species